rnacentral:tRNA from 1 species
CGAAAUGGAGCUUUUAGGAAGUAUUUCAUUUACACUGAAAGGAUUUAUGUGCAAAUCAUAAUGUUUUGA